rnacentral:rRNA from 1 species
AUGGAGAUGCGUCUCCACCUCCAUGCGUUGGCGAUCCUUCUGGUCGUCUCGGCGCGGCCUACGUCCGUCGCCGGCGGGCUGUGCCGCGACAGCUGCGGCGACGUCCCGGUGCGCUACCCGCUGGGCAUCGACGACGGCUGCGGCAGCCCGUAUUACCGCAACAUGCUGACCUGCGCCGACAACACCACGCUCCGCCUCCGCACCCCGUCCGGCACGUACCCGGUGUCCGGCGCCGACUACGCGGACCCGCACCUGGUGGUGACGGACCCGUCCAUGUGGACGUGCGCGCGGCCCUUCACCUCCGUCCACGCCGCGCCCUUCAGCCUGGACACCAGCACCCGCUUCUCGCUGUCCCCGAGGAACGACCACCUCUUCUUCAACUGCGACGAGGAGCGCGUCAUCGUGGCGCCGCGGCCGGCCAUCUGCGACCGGUACCCGGACCGGUGCGACUCGGCGUGCGACAGCGCCGGGUACCUGUGCCGGAACCUGCCGGGCUGCCGCGGCGCGCUGGAGGAAGGGAACAUGAGCUGCUGCGCGUACAGGCCCCGCGCGGCGGAGUCGCUGAGGGCCAUGCUGCGGCACUGCGAGGCCUACACCACCGUGUACUGGCGCGCGGUGGGCGACAAGUUCCCGCCCUACGACCAGGUGCCGGACUACGGGGUCCGGGUGGACUUCGAGAUCCCCGUCACCACGCGGUGCCUGCAGUGCCAGGACCGGCGCCGCGGCGCCAACGGCACCUGCGGCUUCGACCCCGCCACCAGGGACUUCGUCUGCAUCUGCGACGGCGGCCGGAACUCCACCACGGACUGUGCAGAUGGCCGCGUGACAGGGCAUGGAGCAUCAGCCGGAGUGGUAGCUGCAACCGUCGUGUUCUCAAUUUCGGCAGCUAUCGGCAUCGGGGGGCUCGUGAUGUACAUACGCAAGUUGAGAUCGAGCAAAGUGGUCACCUGCGGCGUCCAGAGUAACGAAAAUAGAUUCUUCUGAGCCGACCUCAAAGAAUUCCCAUGAACAGUCUUCCGCAUGUGCAAAGAAGAAAGGAGGGUAUGGACCCACGUCAGAUGGAGAGGGUUCCGGUGUAUACAACACGAAGCCUUGAGAUAUUUUUUUCUUGUAGUUUUGGGCGAUAUGUAUGAUGCAUAUGAUGGGCAUGCAGACCGUACUACAUUCAAAGAUAACGAGGGCGGCAUACUCAGGUGAACAAAAGAUAUGUGCGAGUGCAUUGCCGCCGAAUUUACAUGUUGUGGUAGCUUGUAACCAGCGAGGCGUCUGUGGUGACUUUGCUAAUUAAUUUUUUAGCACAACAACUUCAUUCUCUUGUCGGGAGUCAUGCUUGCGAGUGAAUUAGUCUUUGUUGCAACGUGUCAAAGGAUAGAAAACAUGGUUCUCAACCACCCAUACACUCUAGAAUCAGUGUCAAAAGUAUGCAACGAAUGUGAUAUGCAAGAUUUCUAAUUAAAUGAAAUGCUUCUCACUCAUUGCACGACGUGACACAAGGAGAAUGUCAAUAACACGAUAAAGACGUGAAACUUUAGACAUACAAGUAACGAAUGAGAGGGGAUAACAAGUGCACUAGUAGAUUCAUUAUUACAACCAACCAUUGUACAAAAGAUUAGGUGUUGGUUAUCUAUAGUGUUAAAACUCAAGUUGUCCAUGACAGUGGACAGAAAUAUUCAAGUAGAUUAUACACUCCGUGGAGAUGCGUGAUUUUACCCGCAUGGCAUGGUUCCUUCAUGGGUUGAGACACGCCUACCCCCAUGUUGGAAAUAUGCCCUAGAGGCAAUAAUAUUGUAUUACUAUGUUUUAAUGUUUAUAAUUAGGAGUUUCUGUUUCAUUCUAUAA